GCGAAAUUUACAGCGAGCGAUAAGAAGACCUCCCCGUUGUGUUCAGCAGCAGUGUUGCGCAUCAACAUCAGAAGCGGAGUUUUUUGCAUAAACUAAAUUAACAAAAAAACCGCAAUCAUGUCAAAGAGAACUAGGUCGCCGUCUGACAAUGCUGAAGAAAAGCAGGAAAAAAGAACCAGAAACACGGCCACUUCGACCGAAUUAGACAAGCAAAAUGUGCGCUUUGAAUCGGAUUCUCGAAUAUUACCUUCACCCCGGUGUCUGUUUCACAACCUGAAGGAGAAGACGUCACUGGAGCUCCAAAAAAAUAAUGUGUUUAUUUUCAGGAGUCAGGUCCCACCACCGCAUCUGCUCCACGGGGAGUUCUCACUAGAAAAAUUUGGGUUCACUGCAAGCGUGGGUUAUGUAUUUUAUAACCACCGGGGUGAGCUUAAUCUUUACCAGAUUCGUGACAACAAACAGUUUUCAACAAGCACGCCUCUCACUGUCGUUAAAUAUGAAGACUGGCUGGUUCUAACCGCGCUCAUACCACUAGAAGAUUUUCUCCCUAAAACAAGCCCUGAUGAGUCCGGGAAAAAAACAAAAAUCGCACAAUCAUCUGGAGUAACCCUCCCAGUAGAUCCGAGCUGUCACAGAAAAAAGUGCUGUACAGGGCUUCGUGGACAUCUGACACCUGUCAUAACGGCGAGUGGAAAUUGCAGGCGAGCAUUUACAAAAAUGACCACCUGCACCCUAGCAAUAUGUUUCAUUUAGACACCAUUAACAUGGAUUGAGGGGCGUUUCGCACAGUUGUGUCAGUUCCUGUGAUCGCGAUGCAUGCCAUCCUUCGUGAGUAUAACGCAGCUGCUGAGAUCACGACCCUUUUUCAGACCUGUCGUCAGUGGAAUGAUGUCGUGGCGAUUAAAAAACAUUGGAUUUUAACUCAUAAUCCUCCACACACACACACAAGCACACACGCACACACGCAGCUCCACCCCAUCCCCUAGCUCCAGCUCUGCCCCCUUCCGUUCUCUCUACACUUAAAGAAGAACACAAACAUGGCACAAGUCUCAGAACAAGUUCCGACCCGAAAGACCGAAAAGAAAAUGUACCAACCGCUCCGAUAGCCAUCUCUCACAACGUUCUGGGGGGUGAGUAGUGCUGAUCUGCCUGAAGACUUGAUGGGUUCUCCCCUCCACGCCUCAGCCGCAGGAGCUACAUCCUGACUACUUCGCGUGUUACCUGCCUUCAUCACUGCAGCCGGCUACAGCCCCUCGCAGCUCACAGCUCCCGGUACUUGAAGAAGAACACCUCCAGCUCCCGCUGCUCGAUGCAGAAGACCCUGGAACAGGAAGCAGAGGCGGACCGUUCCAGUGUGCUUGCAGGGAUUCGAUAGCUGAGGACAUCGUGAGAUGGCUCAGCUCAACAACCCCUCACCUACCUCCAGACACUGACAAUUCGGAAGCAACACCUGAAAUCUCGCUGGUGAAUGCUGAGCCUCCAGCGGAUCCCGGAGCGGAGCCCGGAGCGGCCUCUCAGGACCUGUUUGUGGAGCCUGGAGCGGCCUCUCAGGACCUGUUUGCGGAGCCUGCAGCGGCCUCCAUGCCUCAAAAGGCCUCACUUCCUCCUGCUUCGCCAGCGCGGGAACCAUCAACCAGGCCCGCUUCCUGUGGCGACUGGCUGGAUUCGGAGGUCAUUCAAACAGCUAAGAUGGCCGUCCUUCAUCUGCUCAACAUGACUCUGGACUCUUACGUCCAGGGUGCAUUAUAAACCAUCCCAGCCAGUUACAGCAUCUUUGUAUGACGGUACGAGACGAGAACGCAUUUUUCAGAGCGCAUUAUGCUGAAAUCUUGAACAGGGUCACGAAGGAUCGGUUUGUAUCAACCGUCCAGAUGAUUCUCAGAACUCGUGGCAUGCUCGUGGAUGACUAUGCAAUAAAAGUCAUCACACAGACUUUAUUAUUUCAACUCAGAUUUGAGCAGAAUGUUUUUGAAACGAUUUACAAUAUGUACGAAUCGAUGCCAGAGUCUGAGGUGAAAAGUCUCGUACCGUUCACAAACUUUUACAAAACUGUGUAGAAUAAUCUUUAUGUUUUCAGAUUUUUUUCUGAUUUG